rnacentral:rRNA from 1 species
GAACGGGGAGCAGCCCAGAGCCUGAAUCAGUAUGUGUGUUAGUGGAAGCGUCUGGAAAGGCGCGCGAUACAGGGUGACAGCCCCGUACACAAAAAUGCACAUGCUGUGAGCUCGAUGAGUAGGGCGGGACACGUGGUAUCCUGUCUGAAUAUGGGGGGACCAUCCUCCAAGGCUAAAUACUCCUGACUGACCGAUAGUGAACCAGUACCGUGAGGGAAAGGCGAAAAGAACCCCGGCGAGGGGAGUGAAAAAGAACCUGAAACCGUGUACGUACAAGCAGUGGGAGCACGCUUAGGCGUGUGACUGCGUACCUUUUGUAUAAUGGGUCAGCGACUUAUAUUCUGUAGCAAGGUUAACCGAAUAGGGGAGCCGAAGGGAAACCGAGUCUUAACUGGGCGUUAAGUUGCAGGGUAUAGACCCGAAACCCGGUGAUCUAGCCAUGGGCAGGUUGAAGGUUGGGUAACACUAACUGGAGGACCGAACCGACUAAUGUUGAAAAAUUAGCGGAUGACUUGUGGCUGGGGGUGAAAGGCCAAUCAAACCGGGAGAUAGCUGGUUCUCCCCGAAAGCUAUUUAGGUAGCGCCUCGUGAAUUCAUCUCCGGGGGUAGAGCACUGUUUCGGCAAGGGGGUCAUCCCGACUUACCAACCCGAUGCAAACUGCGAAUACCGGAGAAUGUUAUCACGGGAGACACACGGCGGGUGCUAACGUCCGUCGUGAAGAGGGAAACAACCCAGACCGCCAGCUAAGGUCCCAAAGUCAUGGUUAAGUGGGAAACGAUGUGGGAAGGCCCAGACAGCCAGGAUGUUGGCUUAGAAGCAGCCAUCAUUUAAAGAAAGCGUAAUAGCUCACUGGUCGAGUCGGCCUGCGCGGAAGAUGUAACGGGGCUAAACCAUGCACCGAAGCUGCGGCAGCGACGCUGAUGCGUUGUUGGGUAGGGGAGCGUUCUGUAAGCCUGCGAAGGUGUGCUGUGAGGCAUGCUGGAGGUAUCAGAAGUGCGAAUGCUGACAUAAGUAACGAUAAAGCGGGUGAAAAGCCCGCUCGCCGGAAGACCAAGGGUUCCUGUCCAACGUUAAUCGGGGCAGGGUGAGUCGACCCCUAAGGCGAGGCCGAAAGGCGUAGUCGAUGGGAAACAGGUUAAUAUUCCUGUACUUGGUGUUACUGCGAAGGGGGGACGGAGAAGGCUAUGUUGGCCGGGCGACGGUUGUCCCGGUUUAAGCGUGUAGGCUGGUUUUCCAGGCAAAUCCGGAAAAUCAAGGCUGAGGCGUGAUGACGAGGCACUACGGUGCUGAAGCAACAAAUGCCCUGCUUCCAGGAAAAGCCUCUAAGCAUCAGGUAACAUCAAAUCGUACCCCAAACCGACACAGGUGGUCAGGUAGAGAAUACCAAGGCGCUUGAGAGAACUCGGGUGAAGGAACUAGGCAAAAUGGUGCCGUAACUUCGGGAGAAGGCACGCUGAUAUGUAGGUGAAGUCCCUCGCGGAUGGAGCUGAAAUCAGUCGAAGAUACCAGCUGGCUGCAACUGUUUAUUAAAAACACAGCACUGUGCAAACACGAAAGUGGACGUAUACGGUGUGACGCCUGCCCGGUGC